CGCAGCAGGAUGGGAAUUGAGUGAAAGUUGUGUUUUUGUUGCAAACACCAACACAGUCAAGUGCAAGGCGCCAAAAACUUUCACCCCUCCCCCGCGUCCAGAGCAGCGGGUUAUUCCUUGUGGCAGCUCAGCGGGCCGUUUGCGGGAUAGGCCACCAUGCACGGCCCUCCAAACGGAUUAAAAAUCUCAAUCAGGGAGCAGCGAAGGACAAUCACAACCUCACUUGUUUGGGCACAAUUAAGUUCAAAUGGAGAAUAGCACACAUUCAUUUUGGCCACACUCUAUGGACAGCUUUAUGAGAUACGCAUUUAACCCAUUACAGCUUCCUGACCUUGAUCUGAACCCACAGGCGUUAAGUUGACAUUUGGCCAGCAGUUACAAGCUUUACCCUUGGCUAAAUACGAGUGCAAACAACUAGAGAAAAAA